CUACUGUUUUGUUUAUCUGGAAUGUUGUGUGGGAGUCCAUCAGGAAUUGCUGGUCUGCAGUAAAUUUGUCAGGCUAGGUGAUGAACAUCAAUGAAUCAGAAAAUGUAUUGCAUGGGUGGUGAAUGUUCUGACAGUUUUAACAGUUGUGAUGUGGUGUAUUUCACUUCCACGCAUCAUGUAGAAGUUGGUGACGUGAUACAAUGAACAUGGAAAAAUCACCUGCGCCCACGUUGACGAUGAUACCUGUACCAAAGUGCUGGAAACUAAAAUUAAAUUUUCCUUACAAUUUGGUUUCAGGCUAUCUUUAUAAUUUUUUAAUAGUUUUGCAUUUAUUGAUGAGUCCGCAAGCUCUUAGCUGAUUUCCUCCUUUAGAUACCGCCUGUCGACGAUUUGACAGCCUCACACAAUU